CGCACAUUCCUUCCCCUCCCCCCACCGGGGAGAAGUGCACGGCCCGGAGAACAAAGAGCAGUGCCCACAAGGGACGGGGCUGCCUGGCCGAGAAAGGACUGCUCAGCACGUGAGCGAUAGGAGCCCGGAGACAGAACUACACGUACACAGACCCUCCUUAAGGAAGGCGUUUGAUACGCAACAGUUGCUUCCAUUUCCAUUGGUAAUCCUAACACUGCUGCCCGAACUGCACGCUCAGCUUCCCAGAACCGAGUUGGAUUGACACUGGCUCAAGGAGUCCCAAGGCUCAGAGUGCUCCCACAUCCUACCUAACCUUCUCAAGGCACAAAGUUACGGAGCCCCACUGUAUCUUGAUCCACUCCUAAUCCCAUACUUCAUGAGGGGAUAACGUCAGAGAGAUCAUAUGUACAUACUUAAUAUCACUUAAUGAUACAAGCUUAGAGAAGCUCGCAAAGAUCCAAAGUAACCAUGAGUCUUUUAC
ensembl:lncRNA